UACGAAGGGUGCAAACGUUGCUCGGAAUUAUUGGGCGUAAAGCGCACGUAGGCGGCUUUGCAAGUCGGAUGUGAAAUCCCUCGGCUUAACCAAGGAAGUGCAUCCGAAACUGCAAGGCUUGAGUACUUAAGAGGAUCGCGGAAUUCCCGGUGUAGAGGUGAAAUUCGUAGAUAUCGGGAGGAACACCAGUGGCGAAGGCGGCGAUCUGGGAAGAUACUGACGCUGGAGGUGCGA
rnacentral:rRNA from 1 species